AAGUCUGGCAGGAGAGGAGGUCUCGUCAGACAGCUCAUCUCCCACGUAACCGCGCAGCUCUGAGAGGAGAGGAAGAACAGACUGCGCCAGAUACAAAACAGCACUACGGGCAGAUACUCAGCCAAAGCCUCAUGGAUUGAGCAAGAGGUAACAUUCUCCAACUGAAGAGGGACAGUGGUGUGUUUAAGAGUGUUUACAGGGCUUUUCGGGUUUCCUGAUAUUAUGAGUGCAGGUAUGUGUGAGAAGGAGCAUGUGAAUCUAGAGCACCAGAUACAAGGUCGGACGUGCCUCUUCAUCAGAUACACCGUAUGCUAUGUGUAUAUAGCAACAGACUUAUGAGCCGCUCGAGGCAGCCCCGCACGGAAACCUUUUUAUCAGCCAAAGUGAGGAUGGGAGAAAGGCCAAAUCACAUCAGAUGCAACACCAGCUGCACAUCAAGUUCUCCGCUGAACAAUGAGGCUGCCAUGAGCACCACCUCUGUCUCCCAGCUGAGCCACGCUGCCAGAUCUUAACCAAUAAUUUGGGUCGGAAGAGUCGCAUGGAUGACCAAAGUGCAGCCGGCGUAAUCUAAUUGUCAUUGUAUUGCCUUCCAAUGUAAAAGGCAUCCCUUUUCAGUGUUGUGAGAUGAGUGGAGUGUAGAUGAAUAGGUCUAAGGCUUGUGUGGGCAACUCUAAACUGAUUUAAAGGAGUCUUGUAUUGUAUUAAAAUGCACUUUGGAGUAGUGGCAUUAUUCAGAAUUUACAAUAGAAUGCUGUUGGUACAACACAAUGGAGUGACCAAUGUACAGCAUCAUCUCAUUUUAAUACAAUGGUAUCACGCUAACAAGGUGCUAAGAAUAUGCUGAGAAGUAUUGAAGAGAUCAUUUUUAAAAUGUGAAAACUGUAGAAAAGUAGUAAAUAUUCAGAGAGGCAUUCUGAACAUGUAGUCUAAGUCGUGCUGCCACGACUAGUCGACCAUAGAAAUUAGUCAAAUAUUUUCAUGGAUGUGUCGUGUCACUGUUCACACAUUCUCACCAUGCCCUGCAUUAUUGAGAGCGACAACGGGUGUGUCAUCAAUGCAUUGCAGUGUCCUGACAGAGGUGAAUAGCUCGCGUGGCUAAAGUACCAGGACUA